rnacentral:rRNA from 1 species
AAACCAACCGGGAUUGCCUUAGUAACGGCGAGUGAAGCGGCAAAAGCUCAAAUUUGAAAUCUGGUACCUUCGGUGCCCGAGUUGUAAUUUGGAGAGGGCAACUUUGGGGCCGUUCCUUGUCUAUGUUCCUUGGAACAGGACGUCAUAGAGGGUGAGAAUCCCGUGUGGCGAGGAGUGCGGUUCUUUGUAAGUGCCUUCGAAGAGUCGAGUUGUUUGGGAAUGCAGCUCUAAGUGGGUGGUAAAUUCCAUCUAAAGCUAAAUAUUGGCGAGAGACCGAUAGCGAACAAGUACAGUGAUGGAAAGAUGAAAAGAACUUUGAAAAGAGAGUGAAAAAGUACGUGAAAUUGUUGAAAGGGAAGGGCAUUUGAUCAGACAUGGUGUUUUGUGCCCUCUGCUCCUUGUGGGUAGGGGAAUCUCGCAUUUCACUGGGCCAGCAUCAGUUUUGGUGGCAGGAUAAAUCCAUAGGAAUGUAGCUUGCCUCGGUAAGUAUUAUAGCCUGUGGGAAUACUGCCAGCUGGGACUGAGGACUGCGACGUAAGUCAAGGAUGCUGGCAUAAUGGUUAUAUGCCGC